rnacentral:rRNA from 1 species
AGUUAUGCUGAGAGGUAGAAUAACCACAAUGGGACUGAGACACGGCCCAUACUCCUACGGGAGGCAGCAGUAGGGAAUUUUUCACAAUGGACGAAAGUCUGAUGGAGCAAUGCCGCGUGAACGAUGAAGGUCUUUUUAGAUUGUAAAGUUCUUUUAUUUGGGAAGAACAGUUAGUAGAGUGGAAAGCUAUUAAUUUGACUGUACCAUUUGAAUAAGUAACGACUAACUAUGUGCCAGCAGUCGCGGUAAUACAUAGGUUGCAAGCGUUAUCCGGAUUUAUUGGGCGUAAAACAAGCGCAGGCGGAUUAGAAAGUCUGGUGUUAAAAGCAAUUGCUUAACGAUUGUAUGCAUUGGAAACUUCUAGUCUAGAGUUUGGUAGAGAGUCCUGGAACUCCAUGUGGAGCGGUGAAAUGCGUAGAUAUAUGGAAGAACACCAGAGGCGAAGGCGAGGACUUGGGCCAAUACUGACGCUUAGGCUUGAAAGUGUGGGGAGCAAAUAGGAUUAGAUACCCUAGUAGUCCACACUGUAAACGAUG